UGUGUCUACUUCCUGUCGACGUAGUGUCAGUUCGUAGCUUUGUGUUCGAGUUAUUUAACAGGUGCAUUAAGCUUAAAACAUGAGUAGAAGUUAUAGCUUAAUUACAAAUACGAUAAAAAAAAAAAUGUUACCGCCGACAUAUGUCGAAGGUUUCCACGAUUUGGAAGCUGUAAAGGCAAUGGAAUAUAGGCCACUCGGCAAAACUGGAUUAUUAGUUAGCAAAUUAUCACUUGGCGGUGGACCAUUUGGCUGUCAUUACAAUUCGUUCAACGAAGACGAGGCUAUUGAAGUGAUACGUCAAGGAAUAAAACAGGGAAUUAAUUACAUUGAUACUGCACCAUGGUACGGCCAAGGUCGCUCAGAAACCAUAAUUGGAAAAGCUCUCAAAGGCAUUCCCCGUAAAGCAUAUUAUAUUGCGACAAAAGUUGGACGAUAUGAAUUAAAUUACGAAAAUAUGUUCGACUUUUCGAAAGAAAAGACUAGGAACAGUUUUAACGACAGUUUGAAACGACUCGGCUUAGAUUACGUAGAUGUCAUUCAGGUUCACGACAUCGAAUUUGCACAAAGUUUAGACGUAGUAAUUACGCAAACUUUACCAGAAUUAUCGAUUAAGAUUGCGGAUGGUAAAGCGAAAUAUAUAGGUAUUACCGGAUAUCCGGUAUCGGUUUUGAAAAAGUGUAUCGAAAAAAGUAAUAUUAACAUAGCCGUUGUCAUGAGCUAUGCAAGGUACACGUUACUAGAUAAUACUUUGUGUGAUUAUAUUCCAUUUUUUAAGGAGCACAAUAUUGGUAUAAUUAAUGCUGCAGCAGUAUGUAUGGGAUUACUAACUAAUAAAGGACCACAAGCUUGGCAUCCUGGUUCAGAUAAUACAAAAAAAUUAUGCACAGAGGCUGCAAGUUAUUGCAGAGACAAUGAUAUUGAAUUAGCAAGAUUAGCAUUAUGGUACUCUAUGCAAUGUGAGGAUAUAGCCACUUUCCUGAGUGGAAUGCAAACUUUAAGUGACCUGAACAUGAGCCUGGAUUUAGUAAGAAAUGGCAUUACAGAAAGGGAGAAAAAUCUAUUACAAGAAAUUCAAGAAAAUUCCAGCUAUCAGAGCUAUUUUAUGUGUGUAAUGUAGAAUUAUAUUUUAUCAGUACAUUUUUGUGAUACAUAAGUCUUCAGGCUUUCAUAUUAUACUUCAUCCUUAAGUUGAUACAUAAGUAAAGUAACAGAGAAACAUUGGGAAGGUAAAGAGUUUCAGACAUAUUGGGAAAAUGUAAGAAAGUAAGAAAAUAUAUUUUUGUACAUAUUUCUAUACAUACGAUGAUUCAUACAUGUUUUGUCAUAUUAAAUGUUGAAUUAUAUAAUAAAUGUUUAUUACCAAAUA
rnacentral:misc_RNA from 1 species